rnacentral:rRNA from 1 species
GACGAACGCUGGCGGCGUGCUUAACACAUGCAAGUCGAACGGAGUGGCGAACGGGUGAGUAACACGUGGGUGAUCUGCCUUUCACUUCGGGAUAAUCUUGGGAAACUUGGUCUAAUACCCGAUAGUGCAAGAUGGGCGCGCGGCCUAUCAGCUUGUUGGUGGGGUAAUGGCCUACCAAGGCGUCGACGGGUAGCCGGUCUGAGAGGGUGGACGGGUACCUUGCGACUGCGGUACGGAGCAGAGUACUACGGGAGGCAGCAGUGGGGAAUAUUGCACAAUGGGCGGAAGCCUGAUGCAGAGACGCUGCGUGGGGGAUGAAGGCCUUCGGGUUGUAAACUCCUUUCGACAGGGACGCGGUACCUGUAUAAGAAGCACCGGCUAACUACGUGCCAGCAGCCGCGGUAAUUC